rnacentral:rRNA from 1 species
CUUGUAGUCCACGCCCUAAACGAUGCAGAUUAGCUAUUGGGGGCAUCGACCCCUCCAGUGGCGCAGCUAACGCGUUAAAUCUGCCGCCUGGGAAGUACGAUCGCAAGAUUAAAACUCAAAGGAAUAGGCGGGAGUUCGCACAAGCGGUGGAUCAUGUGGUUCAAUUCGACACAGAGCGAAAAACCUCACCAAGGCUUGAAAUCCAGGUGCAAGCCUCCAGAAACGGAGGCCGCCUUCGAGGGUCCUGGACAGGUGCUGCACGGCUGUCGUCAGCUCGUCAUGUGAAUGGUUCCCUUAAGUGGGGAAACGAGCGCAACCCCCGUUGCCUGUUAUACGUGUCAGGCGAGACUGCCGAGGUUGACUCGGAGGAAGGAGGGGAUGACGUCAAGUCAGCGUGGCCCUUUGAUGCCUUGGGCUACACACAUGAUACAAUGGAUGCAACAAUGGGUUGCCAAGCCGCGAGGCGGAGCUAAUCCCAUCAAAUACAUCCUCAGUUCGGAUUGGAGGCUGCAACUUGCCUCCAUGAAGCUGGAAUCGCUAGUAAUCGCAGAUCAGCACGCUGCGGUGAAUACGUUCUCGAACUUUGCACUCAC